rnacentral:rRNA from 1 species
GACGAACGCUGGCGGCGUGCUUAACACAUGCAAGUCGAACGGAAAGGCCCCUUUGGGGGUACUCGAGUGGCGAACGGGUGAGUAACACGUGAGUAACCUGCCCUUGACUUCGGGAUAACUUCAGGAAACUGGGGCUAAUACCGGAUAGGAAUCCUUGCUGCAUGGUGGGGGUUGGAAAGCUUCUGCGGUUUUGGAUGGACUCGCGGCUUAUCAGCUUGUUGGUGGGGUAGUGGCUUACCAAGGCUUUGACGGGUAGCCGGCCUGAGAGGGCGACCGGCCACAUUGGGACUGAGAUACGGCCCAGACGCCUACGGGAGGCAGAAGGGGGGAAUAUUGCACAAGGGGCGGAAGCCUGAUGCAGCAACGCCGCGUGCGGGAUGACGGCCUUCGGGUUGUAAACCGCUUUCAGCAGGGGCGAAGCUUGUGGUGACGGUACCUGCAGAAGAAGCACCGGCUAACUACGUG